rnacentral:rRNA from 1 species
GAUGAACGCUGGCGGCAUGCCUAACACAUGCAAGUCGAACGAGGAAGGGCUCUUUCGGGAGCUCUUCCUAGUGGCGGACGGGUGAGUAACGCGUAAGAACCUGCCCCCAGGAGAGGGAUACCAACUGGAAACGGUUGUUAAUACCUCAUGUGCUGAGGAGUAAAAGGGUGUAAAAACCGCCUGGGGAGGGGCUUGCGUCUGAUUAGCUAGUUGGUGGGGCAAAGGCCUACCAAGGCAAUGAUCAGUAGCUGGUUUGAGAGGACGAUCAGCCACACUG